rnacentral:rRNA from 1 species
UACAGAGGUCCCAAGCGUUGUUCGGAUUCACUGGGCGUAAAGGGUGCGUAGGCGGCCGGGUAAGUCUGAUGUGAAAUCCCGCAGCUUAACUGCGGAACUGCAUCGGAUACUCUCCGGCUAGAGGAAUGGAGGGAGACUGGAAUUCUCGGUGUAGCAGUGAAAUGCGUAGAUAUCGAGAGGAACACCAGUGGCGAAGGCGAGUCUCUGGACAUUUCCUAACGCUGAGGCACGAAAGCCAGGGAGCGAACAGG